UACGUAGGCAGCGAGCGUUGUUCGGAGUUACUGGGCGUAAAGGGUGUGUAGGCGGUCGUUUUAAGUUUGGUGUGAAAUCUCCCGGCUCAACCGGGAGGGUGCGCCGAAUACUGAAUGACUUGGAGUGCGGGAGAGGUGAGUGGAAUUCCUGGUGUAGCGGUGAAAUGCGUAGAUAUCAGGAGGAACACCGGUGGUGUAGACGGCUCACUGGACCGUAACUGACGCUGAGACACGAAAGCGUGGGUAGCAAACAGG
rnacentral:rRNA from 1 species